GACGAACGCUGGCGGCGUGCCUAAUACAUGCAAGUUGAGCGAUGAAGAGUGGUGCUUGCACCAAUUUGAAUAGCAGCGAACGGGUGAGUAACGCGUGGGUAAUCUGCCUUUGAGCGGGGGACAACAUUGGGAAACGAAUGCUAAUACCGCAUAACAACUUUAAACAUAAGGUUUAAGUUUGAAAGAUGCAAUUGCAUCACUCAAAGAUGAUCCCGCGUUGUAUUAGCUAGUUGGGGAGGUAAAGGCUAACCAAAGCGAUGAUACAUAGCCGAACUGAGAGGGUGAUUGGCCACAUUGGGACUGGGACACGGCACAAAAUUCUAAGGGAGGGCGCAAGAGGGAAUCUGUGGAAAUUGAAGAAAGGCCGAACGAGCCACGCCGCGUGAGGGAAGGAGGGUUUCGGGAUGGAAAAAUCUGGUGGUAGGGAAGAAAGUUGGGGAGAGUGGACAGCGCACCACGUGACGGUAACUAACCAGAAAGGGACGGCUAACUACGUG
rnacentral:rRNA from 1 species